CCUGACCCGCAAGCCGGAGGCCGAAGAGGUGCCGGUGCAGGUCAACAUCCAGUACGUGGUCGAAUUCUACGCCCGCUGAUUCGGGCCCACUUCUGUAUCACAUACAGUCAAGGACAUACCGCCGAAACCCCGUGUUCCCGGAAGGGACGCGGGGUUUCCGCGUU
rnacentral:sRNA from 1 species